rnacentral:rRNA from 1 species
AGUCACUGACAUUAGAUACCCCUGUAGUCCAGGGUGUAAACGCUGCAGACUUGGUGUUGGGGGCCCUUUGGGGGCAUUCAGUGCCGGAGAGAAGUUGUUAAGUCUGCUACUUGGGAGUACGUCCGCAAGGAUGAAACUUAAAGGAAUUGGCGGGGGAGCACCGCAACGGGAGGAGCGUGCGGUUUAAUUGGAUUCAACACCGUAAACUCACCAGGGAAGACUGUUACAUGAAGGCCGAGAUGAAGACUCUGCUAGAUUUUCAG